GUGGCUAUGGCCUGAUUGAAACACCAGUUCCCAUACAAUCACCAAAGUUAAGCAAUGGAAAGCUUGGUCAGUACCUAAAUGGGUGACCACUUGAGAAUACCAGAUGUUGUAAG